rnacentral:rRNA from 1 species
UACGGGGGGAGCAAGCGUUGUUCGGAUUUACUGGGCGUAAAGGGCGCGUAGGCGGUCAGCACAAGUCAGUUGUGAAAUCUCCGGGCUUAACUCGGAAAGGUCAACUGAUACUGUGCGACUAGAGUGCAGAAGGGGCAACUGGAAUUCUCGGUGUAGCGGUGAAAUGCGUAGAUAUCGAGAGGAACACCUGCGGCGAAGGCGGGUUGCUGGGCUGACACUGACGCUGAUGCACGAAAGCGUGGGGAGCAAACAGG